AGUGUUGGUGGUAGGGAUCCGAAAGGUGACCGACCCUCGGGAGCCUUCACAGGUGCUGCAUGGCUGUCGUCAGCUCGUGUCGUGAGAUGUUCGGUUAAGUCCGCUAACGAGCGCAACCCUCGCUGUAUGUUACAUGUGUCAUACAGGACCGCCGGUAUCAAGCCGGAGGAAGGUGGGGAUGACGUCAAGUCCGCAUGGCCUUUAUGUCCGGGGCUACACACACGCUACAAUGGUCGGUACAAUGGGUUGCUAAGCCGCGAGGUGGAGCCAAUCCCCCAAAGCCGGCCUCAGUUCAGAUUGCAGGCUGCAACUCGCCUGCAUGAAGCUGGAGUUGCUAGUAAACGCGCGUCAGCUAUAGUGCGUUGAAUACGUUCUCGGGCCUU
rnacentral:rRNA from 1 species